AGUGAACGCUGGCGGUAGGCCUAACACAUGCAAGUCGAACGGCAGCACGGUAAGAGCUUGCUCUUACGGGUGGCGAGUGGCGGACGGGUGAGGAAUACAUCGGAAUCUACUUUUUCGUGGGGGAUAACGUAGGGAAACUUACGCUAAUACCGCAUACGACCUACGGGUGAAAGCAGGGGAUCUUCGGACCUUGCGCGAUUGAAUGAGCCGAUGUCGGAUUAGCUAGUUGGCGGGGUAAAGGCCCACCAAGGCGAGGAUCCGUAGCCGGUCUGAGAGGAUGAUCGGCCACACUGGAACUGAGACACGGUCCAGACUCCUACGGGAGGCAGCAGUGGGGAAUAUUGGACAAUGGGCGCAAGCCUGAUCCAGCCAGACCGCGUGGGUGAAGAAGGCCUUCGGGUUGUAAAGCCCUUUUGUUGGGAAAGAAAAGCAGCAGGUUAAUACCCCGCUGUUCUGACGGUACCCAAAGAAUAAGCACCGGCUAACUUCGUG
rnacentral:rRNA from 1 species